rnacentral:rRNA from 1 species
CAGCCGCCACGGGAAUACGGAGGGUGCAAGCGUUAAUCGGAAUUACUGGGCGUAAAGCGCACGCAGGCGGUCUGACAAGUCAGAUGUGAAAUCCCCGGGCUUAAUUUGGGAACUGCAUUUGAAACUGUCAGGCUGGAGUCUUGUAGAGGGGGGUGGAAUUCCAGGUGUAGCGGUGAAAUGCGUAGAGAUCUGGAGGAAUACCGGUGGCGAAGGCGGCCCCCUGGACAAAGACUGACGCUCAGGUGCGAAAGCGUGGGGAGCAAACAGGAUUAGAUACCCGCGUAGUCCCUGUCUCUUAUAC